rnacentral:tRNA from 1 species
UGCGAAGUAUUUUCAGUCUGGUAGAAAGAGAGGUUCAUAACCUCUUAUGCGCUCGUUCGAAUCGGGCCUUCGCUU